CGAUUGAACGCUGGCGGAAUGCUUUACACAUGCAAGUCGAACGGCAGCACGGGGCAACCUGGUGGCGAGUGGCGAACGGGUGAGUAAUACAUCGGAACGUGCCCAAUCGUGGGGGAUAACGUAGCGAAAGUUACGCUAAUACCGCAUACGAUCUACGGAUGAAAGCGGGGGAUCGCAAGACCUCGCGCGAGUGGAGCGGCCGAUGUCAGAUUAGGUAGUUGGUGGGGUAAAGGCUCACCAAGCCAACGAUCUGUAGCUGGUCUGAGAGGACGACCAGCCACACUGGAACUGAGACACGGUCCAGACUCCUACGGGAGGCAGCAGUGGGGAAUUUUGGACAAUGGGCGCAAGCCUGAUCCAGCCAUUCCGCGUGCAGGAUGAAGGCCUUCGGGUUGUAAACUGCUUUUGUACGGAACGAAACGGCGAGCUCUAAUACAGUUUGCUAAUGACGGUACCGUAAGAAUAAGCACCGGCUAACUACGUG
rnacentral:rRNA from 1 species